GUCUUGCAGGAAUAACUGAGAUCAUGGGGAGCACCAGAAGAGUCUACAUGAAAGGCCAUGUGGAGGAUUAAAACAGUGCCAAGAGGAGUACUGGCAGCCUCUCUUCUUGUUCACUGCUGUGUUGAAUUCCUGUUGGGUCAAUAUAAGCAGCCUGUGCAGAGCACUGCAUUCAUAAAUGUGAAACAAGCCCGCACCAUCAUGUUUGGCACUAAGAGGGCUGAUCUUAGACCAUGUUCCCCCACCAGCACAUUCACUGACCUGGAGCCCCAUGAGAGCAGUUCUGCAUCCCCUGUGAACGAGGUGAGGAAAUGGGGGCUAAUGAGCCACCAGAGGCAGCCUAACUCCUCUUUUAAGGUGCUAUGUCUCUCUUAGUCCUUAUGAAAGUAUUUCUGAAGGGUAUCUGGAAAUACAGUAUGAAUGGAUUUAGGGGCUAAAAAGAAUAGAAGAGCAAAACCGAAAUACUUAAUCUUCAAGUGAACAGCGAGGCUCAACCAACUCUAUGGAUGAUUUAUACACCAAAAGCAUGGACCAAAAUAAACAGAAGAGUUGGCAGCA
rnacentral:lncRNA from 1 species